GUGUGCCCUAAACUACAUUUGAAAUGUGAAGCCAGAUCCAUUUUGGCCAUCUCCUGAAACAACUUUCCUGGAUAAAGCUGAAACUUAGAAUAUUGGUUGAAAAAGUCCCAAGCUGCUGCCAAAAGAAAACUUGAGAGAGAAAUAACAGCUAGACUGCAUGAUCUUCGUUUGAUUUCAUUGUGAUUGCAUCUUCUUACUAUGGGACUUUCCACAGCCAACACUGCGAAGUUCUCCUUUGAGAUGGCUGUCACUAAUUUGGCAGGUAGUGACUUUAUUCAGUCCAUGGCUCUUCUCAGUUUCCUGAUGCUGCACUGCAACACAAGCUGGAAGAGGACUGAUGGAAACACAAGGUCUUGGUUGAUGAACUGUGGGUGAGCAUUUGCAAAUUGUUUUAAUGUUGGACCAUGUUAAUGUUGAAUUCACCAGUGAGA